GGAUGAACGCUAGCGGCAGGCUUAACACAUGCAAGUCGAGGGGUAUUUAUCUUCGGAUCGAGAGACCGGCGCACGGGUGCGUAACGCGUAUGCAAUCUACCUUUUACAGAGGGAUAGCCCAGAGAAAUUUGGAUUAAUACCUCAUAGUAUAUAGACUCGGCAUCGAGAUUAUAUUAAAGUCACAACGGUAAAAGAUGAGCAUGCGUCCCAUUAGCUAGUUGGUAAGGUAACGGCUUACCAAGGCUACGAUGGGUAGGGGUCCUGAGAGGGAGAUCCCCCACACUGGUACUGAGACACGGACCAGACUCCUACGGGAGGCAGCAGUGAGGAAUAUUGGACAAUGGGCGCAAGCCUGAACCAGCCAUGCCGCGUGCAGGAUGACGGUCCUAUGGAUUGUAAACUGCUUUUAUACGAGAAGAAACACUGCUACGUGUAGCAGCUUGACGGUAUCGUAAGAAUAAGGAUCGGCUAACUCCGUG
rnacentral:rRNA from 1 species